rnacentral:sRNA from 1 species
GAGAGACGCUUCUCAAUUUGGGAUUUAGUAUAACCAGUAUGUCUUACAGCAGCAGUGAUAGAUUCAUAGACAACACCUUCAAUACUGACACUCUUCGCCCGGCUGGGAUUCUUUUUGCCAUACAUGCCAUUAGAACGCCCGGCGUUCUUCCCUUUCAUAGAGUCCGAUCUAUUCUUUCGAUCUUGCUCGGAGCCUCUAGCU